rnacentral:rRNA from 1 species
AUUGAACGCUGGCGGUAGGCCUAACGCAUGCAAGUCGAGCGGCAGAAGGGUACUAGCUCCUGCUUACAGGUGGCGAGGGGCGGGUAAUGGCUAAGAACCUGGGUGUCAACGUGUGCUAGCGUCCGGACGCGGGGGAUAAUACGCUAAUAGCGCAUAGGGAGAACGGGUGAGAGCAUGGGACCUUCGGCCCUCGCACGAGCGUAGGAGCCGAUGUCGGAUUAGCUAGUUGGCGGGGUAAAGGCCCACCAAGGCGACGAUCCGUAGCUGGUCUGAGAGGAUGAUCAGUCACACUGGAACUGAGACACGGUCCAGACUCCUACGGGAGGCAGCAGUGGGGAAUAUUGGACAAUGGGCGCAAGCCUGAUCCAGCCAUACCGCGUGUGUGAAGAAGGUCUUCGGAUUGUAAAGCACUUUAGUUUGGGAAGAAAAGCAGCAAGUUAAUACCUCGCUGUUUUGACGUUACCAACAGAAUAAGCACCGGCUAACUUCGUG